rnacentral:piRNA from 1 species
UAGAAUUUUGAGAAAACAAAUUUCAUUUGC